CCUGCCCUGUGACUAUAAUGUUUAACGGCCGCGGUAUUUUGACCGUGCGAAGGUAGCGCAAUCACUUGUCUUUUAAAUAGGGACCUGUAUGAAUGGCAUAACGAGGGCUUAACUGUCUCCUUUUUCAAGUCAAUGAAAUUGAUCUCCCCGUGCAGAAGCGGGGAUAAACACAUAAGACGAGAAGACCCUGUGGAGCUUUAGACGCCAGGGCAGAUCAUGUUAAGCACCCCUAAACAUAGACCCAAACUAAAUGAAACCUGCCCCCAUGUCUUCGGUUGGGGCGACCAUGGGGUAAAAAAAACCCCCCACGCAGAAAGGGAGUACUAUUGCUCCUAAAACCGAGAGCUUCCGCUCUAACAAACAGAAUCUCUGACCUAAAGAUCCGGCCAAGCCGAUCAACGGACCAAGUUACCCCAGGGAUAACAGCGCAAUCCUCUUUUAGAGCCCAUAUCGACAAGAGGGUUUACGACCUCGAUGUUGGAUCAGGACAUCCUAAUGGUGCAGCCGCUAUUAAGGGUUCGUUUGUUCAACGAUUAAAGUCCUACGUGAU
rnacentral:rRNA from 1 species